AGGGUUUCCUUUGCUGUGCAGAAACUUUUAAGUUCGAUUAGGUCCCAGCCUUUGUUUUAAUCUGUUGAUUGGUAACUAGAACUGGAGUCAAAACAGAGAAGGUAAAUUGGAGUAAAUGAAAUACUUUGUCAGAAGAUUUAGAAUAGACAUUAACAUCACUUCUCACAGUGCUAACUCUCUGCACAGGUGUCUGGAUUCCAUGCUCUGGUGUGACUGUGACUCACUGUGGCUGUGCCCGAGGCCACCAUGUGGGACCCCCAGCCACCCUGCGGACGGCCGCAUGUGCUGGUUCCAGCAGAGGAAUUCAGCUGUGCCAACUGCAGCUCCCAGGAGGAAAGGAAACAAAGAGUUUUUGGCGCACAUAAUGCCUGUCAUAUUGUGGGUUUAAAAAUAUAUUUACCAAGGAAGAUGACUGAGUAAUUACCAUUUGCGUGAUGAAAACAUAAUUGGACGAAGAAAAUGCUACUAUAGUUACUGUCACGUGAGUCUCAGUUUGUUAAAUGAAGAGAUCAGUGUGAUGUGCCAUGAACAUAAAAAUAAGCAAAAUGGAACAGAGUAAAUGGAUUCCAAAGUCAUUACAUUUUAUUCUGUAUGACACAGGAAGCAUCACUUGCCAUUGAGAAUUAAAUGGGUAUUAAAUAAACUGAUAUUUACAUAACU
rnacentral:lncRNA from 1 species